CGUAAUAAAAAAAAAAAAAAAAAAAACUGAACAUCGAUCUAAAUCUCCUAUAGCUAGACGCGCGUCAAGACUCGAUCUCUAAAUCAGUUCCUAUCCCGUCUCCUAUAGCUAGACGGCGGAACUCUGUCUCUCUCUUUCUCUCGCUCGAUCUCUCGCUCAAAGCUAGUUCUUAACAAUUCGGCCUCAAUUGCUAUCACGACUACAGAAUCAAGCAAGGUCUCUCUAUCACUGCCCUAAAUUAGUGAUUUCUGUUCGCCUCAGUCAGGUGAAGAAGAAAAGUUACAACUUUGAUGCACUAUUAUCAUCGCUAAUUAUUCCUGGGAUUGGUCUUGGAUAGGAUUCAUAUUGUACUUGGAACAUUUGCAAGACUAACAAGGAAGGUGUAGCAUUCUCUUUGGAGAAAAUCUAGGAGAAUAAACAUGGAUAAGAGUUGGAUUGAUAUACGAGAAACGGACUGGCAUAAAUAUGAAGAUGGAGUUGAUAGUUUUUUGGAGUUUGCAUUCGCCAACAGCGUUGAUCCAACAAGGAUAAAGUGUCCUUGUAAGCUAUGUCGGAAUCGCUAUUUUAAGUCUAGGGAGGAAGCAAGAGAGGAUAUACUGGUAGACGGAUUUUGGGAAAUGUAUAGAAUAUGGGAUAAACAUGGUGAACCUUCCGGACCUGCAGCUCCAUACCAAGGUAGUGGGGUUAACUCUGAUUCGAUCAUCAUGGAUGAUAUGUUUGGCAUGAUUAAUGAGGCGAUUGGGAUUCCCACUGCAAAUCCUGGUUUUGUAGAGUCAAUUCAAUGAAUAUUUGGAAGAGAGGCCAGAAGAUGAACAAGAUGAUACUUUUCGUGAAGAGGUAUUCACUAAAGUGAUGGGAGAAGAUGCACAUGGACGUGUUCGCAUGUAUGGAACAGGUGUAACUCCAUCUCAAGUGUCUGGUAAUUCCAAAGCUUAUGAGACUAAUGAGAAAAGGACAAUUGAGGAAAUGGAAAGAAAAUAUGAGGAAAUGGAAAAAAACUAUCAAACAAAGCUAGAUGAUCUUAAAUUGAGCCAUGAAUCUCAAUUGGGAGACAUGAAAUUAAAGUACGAUGAUGUAUCGAAUCGUCUCAAUCUUUUGAUGGCUCAUGUUGGUAUCCAAGUAAACCCAAGUGGAAGUACAAGUGAACAGAUUCAUGAUUCCUCAAGUUCACAACAACUUAGGCGUAAUAUAGAUACCGAUGGGCAUCGUCAAUUGAAUUUGGAAGGGCAGCGACAAUUAUCUUCGUCUACAAACACAACUACAUGAUAAACUAUAAGGUUGGAGAAAUAUCUAGGUGUUGAUGCUGGAAGUACAAGAUGUCAAUAAAUUUAACAAUUAGCAUGCUACUCUAAACUCGAUUAUUUAGUUUAAUAUUUUGACUACUACUGUAUUCGCAGCGACAUUUUAGUUUGUAUGACUCAAGGCAUGCAUUUGUUAUACAAUUAUUAUAUAUAUUACUCUUUCGUAUCAUUUCAA